rnacentral:rRNA from 1 species
UGCGUAGGCGGGCUAAUAAGUCAGUGGUGAAAUCUCUCGGCUCAACCGGGAAACUGCCAUUGAUACUGUUAGUCUUGAGUUCGGUUGAGGUAGGCGGAAUGUGUAAUGUAGCGGUGAAAUGCUUAGAUAUUACACAGAACACCAAUUGCGUAGGCAGCUUACUGGACCGACACUGACGCUGAGGCACGAAAGCGUGGGGAGCGAACAGGAUUAGAUACCCUGGUAGUCC